rnacentral:rRNA from 1 species
UACGUAGGGUGCGAGCGUUAAUCGGAAUUACUGGGCGUAAAGCGUGCGCAGGCGGUUCGCUGUGUCCGAUGUGAAAGCCCCGGGCUUAACCUGGGAAUGGCAUUGGAAACUGGCGGGCUUGAGUGCGGCAGAGGGGGGUGGAAUUCCGCGUGUAGCAGUGAAAUGCGUAGAGAUGCGGAGGAACACCGAUGGCGAAGGCAGCCCCCUGGGCUAACACUGACGCUCAGGCACGAAAGCGUGGGGAGCAAACAGG